rnacentral:rRNA from 1 species
GAUGAACGCUGGCGGCGUGCCUAAUACAUGCAAGUCGAGCGAACAGACGAGGAGCUUGCUCCUCUGACGUUAGCGGCGGACGGGUGAGUAACACGUGGAUAACCUACCUAUAAGACUGGGAUAACUUCGGGAAACCGGAGCUAAUACCGGAUAAUAUAUUGAACCGCAUGGUUCAAUAGUGAAAGACGGUUUUGCUGUCACUUAUAGAUGGAUCCGCGCCGCAUUAGCUAGUUGGUAAGGUAACGGCUUACCAAGGCAACGAUGCGUAGCCGACCUGAGAGGGUGAUCGGCCACACUGGAACUGAGACACGGUCCAGACUCCUACGGGAGGCAGCAGUAGGGAAUCUUCCGCAAUGGGCGAAAGCCUGACGGAGCAACGCCGCGUGAGAGAUGAAGGUCUUCGGAUCGUAAAACUCUGUUAUUAGGGAAGAACAAAUGUGUAAGUAACUAUGCACGUCUUGACGGUACCUAAACAGAAAGCCACGGCUAACUACGUG